ensembl:lincRNA
AUGUUUGUGGGCGGCCGAGCUCUGUCCACCCUGGAGGGCCCGGCUCUGUCCACCAAGGAGGCCGGGCUCUGUCCACCUUGGAGGGUUGAGCUCUGUCCACCUCGGAGGCUGGGCUCUGUCCACCCCAGAGGGCCGAGCUCUGUCCACCAAGGAGGCCGGGCUCUGUCUACCUUGGAGGGUCUAGCUCUGUCCACCUCCGAGGCCGAGCUCUGUCCACCUCCGAGGCCGAGCUCUGUCCACCUNNNNNNNNNNNNNNNNNNNNNNNNNNNNNNNNNNNNNNNNNNNNNNNNNNNNNNNNNNNNNNNNNNNNNNNNNNNNNNNNNNNNNNNNNNNNNNNNNNNNCCGCUCUUCCGAUCUCCCUGCUCUGAGAUGAGAGCGAUGUCCUUUGAGACCCUGGGACCUCUCCUGUGGGUUUCAGGUUCUCCUCAUCUACCUGGGGUGAAAAGUCUCCCUCUGAAGCCAGCUCCUGCCUCCUGGUUUCAUCCUCUGGGUCCUGGUCCUGGCACAUCCUGAGCCCUCAGGCCUUCAGCCACAUUUGAGAAGACAUGUGUCCGGCUCCUCUAAGAGUGCCCACCCAGCGGCCUGGCCUGCAGCUGCCACCGGACGUGGAGUCCGUCAGACCUGGUCUGGACACGACACCUCCUCCUCCUCCAGGCUGGCUUCCUGGGCUGUCCACAGGCUGGGCCUCACCCUGGCACGUCCAGCAAAACCUGGAGCCAGAGCUUGCUCCUCCACGCUCCUCUCGGAUUUAAGGGUCUGUCAUCAAAAAGGCACCAAGGGCUUGGGAGAGGGUGCACCUGAGAGGAGCCGGGGCGGGGAGGUGCCUCCGCCUGGUACGGGCGCCAUCCUGGCUUUCCUGGUUUGCCCUCACCGCGUUCUGCUGCUAGUUCCUCAUCACAUUCAUAAAAGGAGAACUUCUGUAUUCACUGAGAGAAGGCAGCCAGCCUGCCUGCCCUAACGGCACUCCCCGGGGUCGUCUGUCACUUCAGCUCCCAGGUCAGAGCCCCUGUCUGUGAACCGGGGCAGGCCAGAGUGCUGGGCCUCCAUCCCCCACCUUGCCGAGGCCUCGAGACUUUAUCCUUGAUAACCGUGGAGAUUUUAUUUCUAAAGACUUUUUAAUUUAUUCUGAACCUUUACAGAGAUGGGAUUGGGCCGUGUUUUGCCCUGCCGGCGCUCAGAACAAAUCCCGUGGCUUAUCUAAUUAGCAAGUGAGUCAUACCUGGGGGGCCUCACCCGGGGUAAUUAAAACUUAAUUGGGCUCUUCAUCCAGCUAAUGUCACCGUGGAGCCGCGGUUAGCAGCGGCUGGAAGGAAGGCUGUACUCGGCUCGGAAGGGAGCUGGGCUCCGUCUGCGCCGCAGCGGCUCUGCAGCGGCUCUGGGGCCACGGGUGGCAAGGCCGUCUGUGAUUUCCAGGCUUCCUGCUCUGCGCUCCAGCCGCAGGGGGGGCGCCGGGGGGGGGGGGGGGGGGGCGGGAGCCGGGGGGGGGGGGCCCGCGGCCCCACCACCCGGAGCUUCUCGUAGGCGCAGGUCCCCGGGGCAGCUCAGGGAAGUCUGCAAGAGCGCGCGGCAUCCGCGGAGGUGGCGGGGCGCGGAGCGUCCUGUGGGCUUGUGACCCCAGCGGCUCCCGGAGCGCGGCGAGCUGGAGACGGUCGCGCAGGAAGAAACCGUCCGGGGCGAAGGCGGAGGGUGGGGCGCCCCGGGGCCCCGCCGACCCCACCAGGAGCACGCGUGUGCCCCCCGGGAUGCGGCCUGCUGUCCAGGGCAGAGUCACAGGGGCCCAGGUGUGAGGCAGGGGUCACCCCUCGCACAGAGGCGUUUUUCAUCCUUGCCACCACGGCCUUUAGAAGCGCUUUGCUUUCCCCGGAAGAGUUAGAGUUUAGCCCAGAACUGUGAGACCAUCUCAGUCCGCCCCGGCGCGGCACCCAGCCCUGACAGGCUGGGGGGGGCGGCGGGGGGGGGGGGGGGCGGCGGGGGGGGGGCGGGUCCGGGGCCCCNNNNNNNNNNNNNNNNNNNNNNNNNNNNNNNNNNNNNNNNNNNNNNNNNNNNNNNNNNNNNNNNNNNNNNNNNNNNNNNNNNNNNNNNNNNNNNNNNNNNGGCGGCGAGGGGACGGAGCUUCCCCGGCGUGGCUCGAGCAGGUCGGCGUCUACUACGCUCGGCCCCGGAUUUUCAAAUCACCAAACACAGUAACAGCUUAGACUCUUUUCCUCCUACGAAGGUGAAGAUCAUUUCUUUAUCAGCACUGCCUUUUGGAAAAAAUGUAAGAAUGUGAAUUGCUGGUUUGUGCCCUAGAUUCCCAGGGCCGGCUUACGACGCGGGCAGCUCUGAGAUCCACAAACUGCCCUUACUUCCUGGGCCCAAGACCAGACCUCUAGGAACCCAGCCGGGUGGGCAGGUUGUGUCCCAGGGCACCAGGACACAGACCCCCUGGGAAUGAGCAACGCGGCUCCUGGAUGGUGGGCGGUGCGACCACGUUCUCCAUCCUGCAGACCCUCACGGAGGGGCGGGCAGAGGAGCGGCAGAUGUCGGUGUGACUGCCUCUAGUGUAACACCGGGGCAGCCCUGCUGCGGCUCACAAUGCCCUGGACACGGUGCCAGGGGGCAGGACUCAGGAAUGAGAACGCGUUCACCUCUCCCCUGCACACCCAGCACCUCACACAACAGGGGCUCGCGGCGGGUCCUGGAUUUUCCGCCUGAAGGCACACUAGGCUUCUGCCUCCUUCCUGCGGCCCUCCCCUAGCAGAGCAGCGUUUUGCAGACCAGCCGCCCCGCUGGCCCCGACCCCGAGCGGCCUCAACCACAGUCGUCCAGCGCUGCCCUGCCCACGAGUGCAGGGGAUUCCGAGUCAGUUCAGCUCCAUUCAUCACAGGAAACUUUGAUUGUGAGUUUAAAAGAAAGUUUAAGAAAAAGUACCAGCAUCACCCCUUGUGACUUGCCAAGUGUGCUUACUCCAGACCUCUCGGAAAGCUCGUGUCAGCUGCGUGAUUAAUGAGCUGUUGGUAGUAAAUUGCAAGCACAUUCACACCUCCGAGCCAUAUUGUUUAACCUUUAACUUAUCGACUGGUAAAAACUUAGAAAACAAAGUGUAAUUUUACCUGUCAGAUAGAUGCCGCUAACUUGAGAAUGUAGAAUUUUAGACGAGAAACUUCAAAUUUCUUUUUGUCAAACAUUCACGUGGAAACGAUAGCUCUUCACUCAGCUUUCUCAAUUUUCUUUAGGGGAAACGGAAUGAUCAUUUUCAGGCUCUCAACCAAUCAUUUGCUUUUUCCAGCCUAGGCCAUCUGCCAAAUCAGAUAAAUUAGGGCAGAAACACACGGAGCUGCCAACAGGCAGAGGGAGGCCCCAAGGGCUGGAGCCUCCGGGGGUCUCCCCGAGAGCCCUUCAGGGACUCCAGCUCAGAGACAAGUCGGUGCAAGGCUGACCUGGUGCCCUGAGUGGACACAGACUCGGGCUGAGGCCUCGUUCCUGCUGCCCGGAGAAGCCCCCCGUGGUCUCAGUCAGGACGGCCAGCCGUGGCCCUCACAUAGGCUGGGCCGGGGGACGCGCUCCCUGAAACGACCCCCAGGGGCAGGCCUGCCUUCUGGACAGUCUCCCAGUGACCCCUCGCCAGAGCCUCUGCUGAAAGCCUGCCACCUCCGCAGACGCCAGCGGGGCCCCUUGCUUCUUGUCUGUUGCUGCCUGAACCUCCUCAUCCGUUUGUCCUUUUGUUUUUCUAAACAGCUCCUCCCCCCGCUGACAAAAAGCCAAGACAAACAGGCAAAGCCAACCGUUCCCUCCGUCCUCGGGUCUGUCUGAAGCCAGCAUGUCCUCCAGUCCCCUGUGAGACCACCCCCGUCCCAUCAGCAUGGCCCAGGUUCCCACCAGGGGGCAGUCACCUCCUGCCUGACACACCCCUGAGCCCAGGGCCACCGGGAACCCCUCAGAGUCCCCAGAGUCCUUCCAGGCCUAUCCCAGAGAGGCUCAGUGUCCCCCUGGGCCUGCCGAGACCCCAGGGGUCCCUCAGGUCUAGCCCGUGAGGCUUGAACCUCCCCCAGCCCACCCCUGUGCUUUGCCAACACGAGCCACACAGUCUGACUCCGUAUGCUCUCACCUCUGUCUCUCUGAACGUGUGGCCCUGGGGGCUGCCCCCCGAGUCCUCGUAUUUGCAGCAUGGGCUCCGGCCAGAGCCCCCAUCCACUCCAGACCCUAUGGCCUUGUAGCUUCCCCACGGCCAGCCCCUCAGAACUGUCUGACUUUUCCCAAAUGCGUUUGUAUUUUAGCAAGAGAGUCUUUGGAGAUACAUAUACACAUGAAUCAAAACCGAAAACAAACAAGGUGGAACUUACUGUCAAGAAGACCGUGGCUGAGCCACACCCGCCCUGGUCUUGUGAGCUUCUUUCUAGAAGAUGGCGUCCAGUCUCCUAAGUCAGGAGGGUUAUUUACUCCUGGCACAGACCUGCAGGGAAAGGGAGGUUUUUAUUUUGCAGAAUAAAUCAUGGAGAGGCUCCAAGCUGCUGUAACUUGGAAACCUCUGUAAUUAAGCAAUCAAUUAGAAGGUUCUUGGCCCCAUUCCAGGGGCCCAGAGGGAGGGAGGCCUAACUGUCCUGAGGCUGAACUUGACCCCAAAUCGCCAAUGCAACAGAAACAAACACACAGCGCUGGCUUUGGCUAAAGGGCUACGCUUUUUAACUUAAUCUCACAGUUAAUCUCAUGCAGGCUGAACGUGCCUGCAGAGGCUCCGGAUAAGAGCUAUGCUUCCCUGUUCUCCCCUUUCAGCACCCUCCGCCCCCCACUGCCAACAUUUUCCAUUAGAAUCAAGAAAACAGACGUUCAGUGUGUACCCCAGUGUCAGCAAAGCACUCAGGGAAGCGCGAGUUUGGCACAAAAGCCAGUACAAAUCCUGGAUGACCAGGGGCUAGAACCCUCUGAAAGUGAAAUGUGAAGUCGCUCAGUCGUGUCCGACUCUUUGUAACCCCACGGACUGUAGCCUACCAGGUUCCUCAGUCCAUGGAAUUUUCCAGGCAAGAGUACUGGAGUGGGUUGCCAUUUCCUUCUCCAGGGGAUCUUCCAGACCCAGGGAUCGAAGCCGGGUCUCCCGUAUUGCUGGCAGACGCUUUACCAUCUGAGCCACCAGGGAAGUAGAACCCUCUGGGCUUUGUUAAAACUUAGCAAAGGAUGCAAGCACUCUCAGUUCUGUGACACAGUUCUGCCACGUCCAAGGGGCGCCCUGGUGACUUGGACGCAGCUGAUCACCAGGACUGACACUGAAGUGUCCACUGCCUAAACGCCUAGUUGUGACACUUCCCAGGAGACCAGAUUCCCUUUCAAUUAAGCCUUUGAAGCCCCCGACGGGAAGUGGGCACACACUGAGCCCACGAAACACACUGGCUCUGAGGGCUCAGUCACUCUCCCCGUGAACUAGGAGCCCUGUCCCCUGUGCCCUGUCCCCUGUGCCCUGUGCUCUGUCCCCUGCGUCAUGUUGUCCUCUGUCCCCUGUCCCCC